rnacentral:rRNA from 1 species
AUUGAACGCUGGCGGCAGGCUUAACACAUGCAAGUCGGACGGUAACAGGGAGGAAGCUUGCUUUCUUUGCUGACGAGUGGCGGACGGGUGAGUAAUGCUUGGGAAUCUGUUUUAUGGAGGGGGAUAACUACGGGAAACUGUAGCUAAUACCGCGUAAUAUCGAGAGAUUAAAGUGUGGGACCGUAAGGCCACAUGCCAUAGAGUGAGCCCAAGUGGGAUUAGGUAGUUGGUGGGGUAAAGGCCUACCAAGCCGUCGAUCUCUAGCUGGUCUGAGAGGAUGACCAGCCACACUGGGACUGAGACACGGCCCAGACUCCUACGGGAGGCAGCAGUGGGGAAUAUUGCACAAUGGGCGCAAGCCUGAUGCAGCCAUGCCGCGUGAAUGAAGAAGGCCUUCGGGUUGUAAAGUUCUUUCGGUGGUGAGGAAGGUUGUAAUGUUAAUAGCAUUAUAAUUUGACGUUAGCCACAGAAGAAGCACCGGCUAACUCCGUGCCAGCAGCCGCGGUAAUACGGAGGGUGCGAGCGUUAAUCGGAAUAACUGGGCGUAAAGGGCACGCAGGCGGAUACUUAAGUGAGGUGUGAAAGCCCUGGGCUUAACCUAGGAAUUGCAUUUCAUACUGGGUAUCUAGAGUAUUUUAGGGAGGGGUAGAAUUCCACGUGUAGCGGUGAAAUGCGUAGAGAUGUGGAGGAAUACCGAAGCGAAGGCAGCCCCUUGGGGGAAUACUGACGCUCAUGUGCGAAAGCGUGGGGAGCAAACAGG